rnacentral:rRNA from 1 species
UGGGGAAUAUUGGACAAUGGGCGAAAGCCUGAUCCAGCCAUGCCGCGUGAGUGAUGAAGGCCCUAGGGUUGUAAAGCUCUUUCGCAGGUGAAGAUAAUGACGGUAACCUGAGAAGAAGCCCCGGCUAACUUCGUGCCAGCAGCCGCGGUAAUACGAAGGGGGCUAGCGUUGUUCGGAAUUACUGGGCGUAAAGCGCACGUAGGCGGACUAUUAAGUCAGGGGUGAAAUCCCGGGGCUCAACCCCGGAACUGCCUUUGAUACUGGUAGUCUCGAGUCCGAGAGAGGUGAGUGGAAUUCCGAGUGUAGAGGUGAAAUUCGUAGAUAUUCGGAGGAACACCAGUGGCGAAGGCGGCUCACUGGCUCGGUACUGACGCUGAGGUGCGAAAGCGUGGGGAGCAAACAGG